rnacentral:rRNA from 1 species
UACGUAGGUGGCAAGCGUUGUCCGGAUUUACUGGGCGUAAAGAGCGCGCAGGCGGUCGGAUAAGUCGAGUGUGAAAGCCCCUGGCUCAACCAGGGAGGGUCACUCGAUACUGUUCGACUCGAAGGCAGGAGAGGGAAGUGGAAUUCCGGGUGUAGUGGUGAAAUGCGUAGAUAUCCGGAGGAACACCAGUGGCGAAGGCGACUUUCUGGCCUGUUCUUGACGCUGAGGCGCGAAAGCUAGGGGAGCAAACAGG